CGCAAUGGGCGAAAGCCUGACGGAGCGACGCCGCGUGAUGGAUGAAGACCCUCUGGGUCGUAAACAUCUUUUAUGAGGGAGAAAGUUUAUUGAUAGUACCUCAUGAAUAAGGGGUUGCUAAACUCGUGCCAGCAGCAGCGGUAAUACGAGUGCCCCGAGCGUUAUCCGGAAUCAUUGGGCGUAAAGGGUGUGUAGGUGGUUGUGUUAGUCUGUUGUUAAAAUCCGAGGCUUAACCUCGGGAGGGCGAUAGAAACGGCACAACUAGAGGAUGGCAGGGAUGUAUGGAACUCAUGGAGUAGGGGUGAAAUCCGUUGAUAUCAUGGGGAACACCAAAAGCGAAGGCAGUACAUUGGGCCACUCCUGACGCUUAAACACGAAAGCGU
rnacentral:rRNA from 1 species